rnacentral:rRNA from 1 species
UACGAAGGGGGCUAGCGUUGUUCGGAAUUACUGGGCGUAAAGGGCGCGUAGGCUGUGCUGUAAGUCAGGCGUGAAAGCCCCGGGCUCAACCUGGGAAUUGCGCUUGAUACUGCGGCGCUGGAAGGUGGGAGAGGAUGGCGGAAUUCCCAGUGUAGAGGUGAAAUUCGUAGAUAUUGGGAAGAACACCGGUGGCGAAGGCGGCCUUCUGGACAGUGACUGACGCUGAGACGCGAAAGCGUGGGGAGCAAACAGG